rnacentral:lncRNA from 1 species
AUCCGAAUGUUGGGUCAUCAUUGCUAGAUAAUUACAUCGAUUAGUAUAAAAAGUUGUUCCUAUACUACCAGCUUAGGUUUGAAACUAUAGGGUCAUACGCAUUAGAAGAUUUAGUCAGAUCUGAUGGCUGAAGAGUCCAAUUGGAUUGUUACUCUGAUGAUGAGUCCUAUUGGGAUUGAAACUCUAGAGCAGAGUCCCACUGGAACUGAGACUCUACUAUUUAUAAAAAAUUAAUUAGUAAUUAGAUUACUAAUUAACUCAAUUUGAUUGAGCAAAGAGCUUUGGAUCAAGUCUAAUUAAAUGAGAUUCAGUUCGACUCAGAUUGGGUUUGAUAUGAUCAAUCCUGAUUAC